rnacentral:rRNA from 1 species
CCUACGGGUGGCAGCAGUGGGGAAUAUUGGACAAUGGGGGGAACCCUGAUCCAGCCAUGCCGCGUGUGUGAAGAAGGCCCUCGGGUUGUAAAGCACUUUCAGUGAGGAAGAACGCCUGGUGGUUAAUACCCAUCAGGAAAGACAUCACUCACAGAAGAAGCACCGGCUAACUCCGUGCCAGCAGCCGCGGUAAUACGGAGGGUGCGAGCGUUAAUCGGAAUUACUGGGCGUAAAGCGCGCGUAGGUGGCUUGAUAAGCCGGUUGUGAAAGCCCCGGGCUCAACCUGGGAACGGCAUCCGGAACUGUCAAGCUAGAGUGCAGGAGAGGAAGGUAGAAGUCCCGGUGUAGCGGUGAAAUGCGUAGAGAUCGGGAGGAAGACCAGUGGCGAAGGCGGCCUUCGGGACUGACACUGACACUGAGGUGCGAAAGCGUGGGUAGCAAACAGGAUUAGAUACCCGUGUAGUC